rnacentral:rRNA from 1 species
CGAGCGGAGAGGAGGUAGCUUGCUACUGAUCUUAGCGGCGGACGGGUGAGUAAUGCUUAGGAAUCUGCCUAUUAGUGGGGGACAACAUUUCGAAAGGAAUGCUAAUACCGCAUACGUCCUACGGGAGAAAGCAGGGGAUCUUCGGACCUUGCGCUAAUAGAUGAGCCUAAGUCGGAUUAGCUAGUUGGUGGGGUAAAGGCCUACCAAGGCGACGAUCUGUAGCGGGUCUGAGAGGAUGAUCCGCCACACUGGGACUGAGACACGGCCCAGACUCCUACGGGAGGCAGCAGUGGGGAAUAUUGGACAAUGGGCGCAAGGCUUGUCCAGCCAUGCCGCGUGUGUGAAGAAGGCCUUAUGGUUGUAAAGCACUUUAAGCGAGGAGGAGGCUACUUUAGUUAAUACCUAGAGAUAGUGGACGUUACUCGCAGAAUAAGCACCGGCUAACUCUGUGCCAGCAGCCGCGGUAAUACAGAGGGUGCAAGCGUUAAUCGGAUUUACUGGGCGUAAAGCGCGCGUAGGCGGCUAAUUAAGUCAAAUGUGAAAUCCCCGAGCUUAACUUGGGAAUUGCAUUCGAUACUGGUUAGCUAGAGUGUGGGAGAGGAUGGUAGAAUUCCAGGUGUAGCGGUGAAAUGCGUAGAGAUCUGGAGGAAUACCGAUGGCGAAGGCAGCCAUCUGGCCUAACACUGACGCUGAGGUGCGAAAGCAUGGGGAGCAAACAGGAUUAGAUACCCUGGUAGUCCAUGCCGUAAACGAUGUCUACUAGCCGUUGGGGCCUUUGAGGCUUUAGUGGCGCAGCUAACGCGAUAAGUAGACCGCCUGGGGAGUACGGUCGCAAGACUAAAACUCAAAUGAAUUGACGGGGGCCCGCACAAGCGGUGGAGCAUGUGGUUUAAUUCGAUGCAACGCGAAGAACCUUACCUGGCCUUGACAUAGUAAGAACUUUCCAGAGAUGGAUUGGUGCCUUCGGGAACUUACAUACAGGUGCUGCAUGGCUGUCGUCAGCUCGUGUCGUGAGAUGUUGGGUUAAGUCCCGCAACGAGCGCAACCCUUUUCCUUAUUUGCCAGCCAGUAACAUCGUGGACUUCAAUGAUCAAGACAGCGACAAACUGCAUGAAGUAGGGGUCUACGUCAUGUCUCAGUCCCCCUUUCGCCCAGGGCUACACACGUGCUACAAUGGUCGGUACAAAGGGUUGCUCCCUAGCGAUAGGAUGCUAAUCUCAAAAAGCCGAUCGUAGUCCGGAUUGGAGUCUGCAACUCGACUCCAUGAAGUCGGAAUCGCUAGUAAGCGCGGAUCAGAAUGCCGCGGUGAAUACGUUCCCGGGCCUCGUGCACAUAAGAAUCACACCAUGGGAGUCUCUGCACCAGAAGUAGCUAGCCUAACUGCAAAG